AGAAGAUAGAGUCAGGCCCCCCUGCUGUUUUAAGGAGAGAAUUCAUUUGGAGCUGUUCAGAAUGCUUGAAAGAAGAGGAAUGAGCUAAUAUUAACAAGAUUCUUCUCUUCUGCAGUGGAAAUGAAGCUAGACACCAUAGAUAACCACUUGGUAGAAACCACUGAGGCACUCUAAAUUGGGAGGCUUUACUGGCAAUAACAGCGUUCAUCAGGAAACUCAUUACGUCACCAUUCAACAAUGGAGGCCACAUUGGAAUGGAGUGCCCUGAAACAGCAAGAGGUCAGAAUCCAAGGUUCUGCUAAUAAUCUGCAGCUCCUACUGCCUUCAUCUGGAUUUUAUAGCACUCAAAGAUUUUGAAAAACAGGCUCCUGCUCAAAAGCAGC
rnacentral:lncRNA from 1 species